GUGACAUAUGGUCUCCUCUGUGUCUCAGAUGAGCGAGUAGUUCUGUGCAAACUUUUGUAACCUAUGAAAGAAAGGCCAAAAUAACCAAACAUUACAGCAUUAAAAAAAAAAGUCUCCAGCACCAAAAUGGGAACAGAUGACAGAUGACAGAGCAGCCAUCUUCUCCUCCCUUCUUUUCUCAAGGAAACAAAGCCAACAAAAGCAUCUUCUUUACAGAGGUGGAGUGUGUAUUGCUUAUCUACACAGGCCACCUUAGAGAAUAAAAUGCCAAGGCCUGCACUCAGAAGUGAAGAUCUUAGCAACAGAAAGUUCUAACCGCCUUUCUGAGCACCGAGAUCACAAUUGCAGAGAAGUAUCCACAGCGACUUCAAAAUACUUUUGCUGACUGCUGUGACUAAAUUUAGAGCCUACUAUGUUGCACAGGUAGAGAGGUUUUCUUCUUAUGGCUAUCAGAGAUCGUUGAAUUUUACCUGCUCUUUUAUCACCUGCUCAGCCUUUAUCAUGAUUUUUGUUGCUAUUUUGUACCAGCAGUCUUGAUUUUCGUUCUCCUGAAUAAUUGUGAGUCAUUGGAAAAUGCUGUCAGUCACCAAUUAAAGCCUGUUCCACUUAAAUGUUUUAAAGCAUAGGCUCCUUUGGAAUCUCACUGGUUACUACCCAUAGAUCUUCCUUUUGAAGGCACUACUAAUCACUCUGUAAAAAUGCUUGUGUUCUGUAAAAAUGUUUGGGGAAGUCUGCACACAUAAUUGCUUCAUCUAGGCUGCAUGGUAAAUGUUCUUCAUGUCCUAUCUACAGUUUCUUUAUUGUUCAGACUGGGAAGAUACCCAGAACAUGCUGUGUCUCCCUCUGUCCCAUAUAUUUGGAUUUCCUUUUUGUGGAAAUUAGACUAAAACUCAAAGGGAGCUGUGAAGAGAAGGCGAGGAGGCAGCAGAAGAUGGUACAAACUUGGUCUUCUUCCAACAAGGAGCUGGACUAUGGCUGAAAAGGAAUCCAAUGUCCCUCUGUUUGUACAAAGUCUAUAUAAGCCAGCUCCUCUUUAAAAUAUGUGCUGACAUUACUGAUCUUUCUAAACACCACCAGACUUCCAGUUUCCAUCUCUUCCCAUUGUGUGGUGAUAAGCCAUGUGUUAGAUUGACUGGUCUGUUGUUUGCAGGUUUUCCCUUAAGUCCUUUAUAAAAAUUGGAAUGUUAUAUGCCACUCUUCAUUGCUCCAGAACAGAGUCUGCUCCGAACCAUGAAUUACAAAGCACGGUUAAUAGUUUGGUGAUUUCAGAUCCAAGUUCCUUUAGAACCCUGGAAUAAGAAACACACAUCCUGACAAGCAGGUACUGUACAAUUCACUGAUCUGCACCAAAAUCAUACAUAGUAAUUUUUCUGAGUAUUUUUUCCCUACUGUGCCCCUAAGGAAGAUUUUGUCAUAGCAAUCACCUCAAAAUUUGAUGUAGAGCACAGCAGUAGAAAACAAUAAUUGCUUAGCUUUUCUCAUGUGGUUUCCUUGAAUGCCUCUG